rnacentral:rRNA from 1 species
GCCUUGCCUAUACUGCAAGUCGAACGAACUCUGGUAUUGAUUGGUGCUUGCAUCAUGAUUUACAUUUGAGUGAGUGGCGAACUGGUGAGUAACACGUGGGAAACCUGCCCAGAAGCGGGGGAUAACACCUGGAAACAGAUGCUAAUACCGCAUAACAACUUGGACCGCAUGGUCCGAGUUUGAAAGAUGGCUUCGGCUAUCACUUUUGGAUGGUCCCGCGGCGUAUUAGCUAGAUGGUGGGGUAACGGCUCACCAUGGCAAUGAUACGUAGCCGACCUGAGAGGGUAAUCGGCCACAUUGGGACUGAGACACGGCCCAAACUCCUACGGGAGGCAGCAGUAGGGAAUCUUCCACAAUGGACAAAAGUCUGAUGGAGCAACGCCGCGUGAGUGAAGAAGGGUUUCGGCUCGUAAAACUCUGUUGUUAAAGAAGAACAUAUCUGAGAGUAACUGUUCAGGUCUUGACGGUAUUUAACCACG